GAAGACUUGGAGUACAGCAUACAAAAGCCCGUGAAGAAGGCUGGGCUUUUUGGCGGGAGCCUGUGGGGAACAGGGCAGCUGACCCCUCUCCAGAGUUUCCAGGCAGGAGGUGUCAGAGGGAGCCAGCUGGGGACUGUUCAGCUACAUCAUGCAACCACCAGGACUGGCAGGUUUGGCUCAGAAGAGUUUCAAGAUACAUUGGUGGUGCUGUGCCACAUGCUCCAAGAAUUGGAUAGCCGGGGGAUGCUGUGAAUCAGGACCAAGAUGCUAUGACAAUUGUUGGAGGAAGUGGGUUCCAGUCAGGAAUAUCGUGGGGCAAUACCAGCCUAGAAUCGCAAAUGCCUUUUCCACUGCUGCUCCUGCAAUGAACCCUGCAUUUCAACCCAGCUGUUUUCACCUGAGAGCAGUCCCCGCUUGCUGUUCUUUUGUCAUAAAUUAUAUUGCAAUAGCUCUCGCCAAAAUUGGGGCUCGACAGACAUAUAGGAAGAAAGAAUCCCUGCCCCCAAACACUUGGGAUCUAAAUAGACAAGACGGACACGCGAUGCAUUAACAUUUGCCGUAGUCAGAAAAGGUAGCUUAUUUUCUGCCAAAAUGUUCAAAGAAAACAAACAUGUUUUAUAUUUUCUUGGUGUUUUACUCAACAUUUUCUGGGUUUUUGUUAGCACGUGCCCCAUUUUUCACACAUCAAAAAAUGUUGUUUUUUGACAAAACCUCACAAACUAUUGGCUGAAAAUGGAAAUUUUCUUGUGCAAGUUUUCAUUUUGUCAAAAAGCACAUUUUUUCCUCAGGAACAAGCUGUGAUGGAAAUGUUUUGAGCCCUUCCAAUCCAUAUGCUAGCUGGGGAAUGGAGGCAGAGAGGGUCCAAUUCUUUAAAGAACUUAUGGGACAUGACAUUCAAUGACACUUAGGUGCUUUUGACAGCAUUACCCAGGGAGAUGAAGCAACAUGUUCAAGGUCACCUGGGAAGUCUGUGGCAGAGCUGGGAAAGGAACCCUAAUUGUGUGAGUCCUACUCCAAUACUGUAACCACAAGGCCAUCUUUCCAGCUGGGCCUGGGCAUGGGCCUUCUGGUUGAUCUCAUAUCCCAGGGAGAAGCCAAAUGAAAAAUUUCUGCCCCGAUUCAGCACACUGUUUGGCUUCCAUGGUAACUGCUAGCAAAUGCAACUCUGGGUCCAAUUCUAAGACAGUAUGCAGUGCCCCCCAUUGGUAUGAUAACAUCAGGGCAGUCACUUUCUAUCACUCUUUCUACACAAUCACCCUAAUCCACAUCAUGGUUGAAAUGGCAUCUACUGUCCUAGAGGCUGCCCAUAGCUGCGUUAUAACUGGCAUGUGAUGUCAUGUGACCUUUUGGGGACUAUCUGUGGCAAAAAAAAAAAAAAAAACCCAGGCCACACUCUGUGAUUUGAAGAUGCCCAGUGUCCCAGUGGUGAAGCCCCGAGCGUUGUGCUUGCCCACUCUACUGAA